AUUGAACGCUGGCGGCAGGCUUAACACAUGCAAGUCGAGCGAGCGGCGGACGGGUGAGUAAUGUCUGGGAAACUGCCUGAUGGAGGGGGAUAACCACUGGAAACGGUAGCUAAUACCGCAUACCAUCCGAUGGGCCCAGAUGGGAUUAGCUAGUGGGUGGGGUAAUGGCUUACCUAGGCGACGAUCCGUAGCUGGUCUGAGAGGAUGACCAGCCACCCUGUGACUGAGACACGGCCCAGACUCCUACGGGAUGCAGCAGUGGGGAAUUUUGCACAAUGGGCGCAAGCCUGAUGCAGCCAUUCCGCGUGUGUGAAGAAGGCCUUCGGGUUGUAAAGCACUUUCUUCGAGGACGCGUUACUCGCAGAAUAAGCACCGGCUAACUCCGUGCCAGCAGCCGCGGUAAUAC
rnacentral:rRNA from 1 species